UACGAAGGGGGCUAGCGUUGUUCGGAAUUACUGGGCGUAAAGGGCGCGCAGGCGGCUCUUCAAGUCAGAUGUGAAAGCCCCGGGCUCAACCUGGGAACUGCAUUUGAGACUGGAGAGCUUGAGUUCGGGAGAGGAUGGUGGAAUUCCCAGUGUAGAGGUGAAAUUCGUAGAUAUUGGGAAGAACACCGGUGGCGAAGGCGGCCAUCUGGACCGAUACUGACGCUGAGGCGCGAAAAGCUAGGGGAGCAAACGGG
rnacentral:rRNA from 1 species